rnacentral:lncRNA from 12 species
CAAAAUGCUCUCAGCAGUUUUGCUAUUUUAUUUUCAGACUUACAGAAGGUAAGGAACAAAUCUCAAGGCAAGGAAGGAGCAGCUCCGGGAAGGAAAGAGACAGGUCGUCCGCACGGGGAAGAUGUGGCUUCCUCUGCCGUAUGCCUGCAGAAAGAAGGUUUAGGGGCUCCGGUCUCUAAGAUGAGAAAGGCAAGUUUGUGAAAUUGAGAAGUUUCUUUAUUUGUUAACAGGUCAAAAGCUCAGAAGACAAUUUAAGGUAAACACCUAGCGAGCCUUAGGAAUACACUGAGAGGAAGCACAUCUGCCACUGGCUCCUCUCUUGUGGGGACAUUAUUGCUGAUUCAUUUGCGCUGAGCACCCGCUAUUGUAGGGUCACUCUGGACACUCAGUGUAUGACAUAAAAACACGAGACCUAACCUUCUCACUAAGGAGCUUCUGAUAUUCAUCUCUAACACGGAUAAAAUUUUAAUGAGAGUAGAAUUCACUUUAUGCACUUAAAUAAAAAUCACUGGGCUACUUCUUGGAGAGUCGUG